AUUGAACGCUGGCGGCAGGCCUAACGCAUGCAAGUCGAGCGGAUGACGGGAGCUUGCUCCUUGAUUCAGCGGCGGACGGGUGAGUAAUGCCUAGGAAUCUGCCUGGUAGUGGGGGACAACGUUCCGAAAGGGGCGCUAAUACCGCAUACGUCCUACGGGAGAAAGUGGGGGAUCUUCGGACCUCACGCUAUCAGAUGAGCCUAGGUCGGAUUAGCUAGUUGGUGAGGUAAAGGCUCACCAAGGCGACGAUCCGUAACUGGCCUGAGAGGAUGAUCAGUCACACUGGAACUGAGACACGGUCCAGACUCCUACGGGAGGCAGCAGUGGGGAAUAUUGGACAAUGGGCGAAAGCCUGAUCCAGCCAUGCCGCGUGUGUGAAGAAGGUCUUCGGAUUGUAAAGCACUUUAAGUUGGGAGGAAGGGCAGUAAGUUAAUACCUUGCUGUUUUGACGUUACCGACAGAAUAAGCACCGGCUAACUCUGUGCCAGCCGCCGCCGUAACAC
rnacentral:rRNA from 1 species